rnacentral:tRNA from 1 species
AUUCAUUUAGUAUAAAAGUAAGUAUAUAAGGCUUCCAACUUUAAGGUUAAUUUAAUAAUAAAUGAAUA